rnacentral:rRNA from 1 species
UACGUAGGGAGCAAGCGUUGUCCGGAUUUACUGGGUGUAAAGGGUGCGUAGGCGGCUCUGCAAGUCAGGCGUGAAAUAUAUGGGCUUAACCCAUAGACUGCGUUUGAAACCGUGGAGCUUGAGUGAAGUAGAGGUAGGCGGAAUUCCCGGUGUAGCGGUGAAAUGCGUAGAGAUCGGGAGGAACACCAGUGGCGAAGGCGGCCUACUGGGCUUUAACUGACGCUGAGGCACGAAAGCAUGGGUAGCAAACAGGAUUAGAUACCCUGGUAGUCCAUGCUGUAAACGAUGAUUACUAGGUGUGGGGGGUCUGACCCCUUCCGUGCCGGAGUUAACACAAUAAGUAAUCCACCUGGGGAGUACGACCGCAAGGUUGAAACUCAAAGGAAUUGACGGGGGCCCGCACAAGCAGUGGAGUAUGUGGUUUAAUUCAAAGCAACGCGAAGAACCUUACCAGGUCUUGACAUCCAACUAACGAGGCAGAGAUGCAUUAGGUGCCCUUCGGGGAAAGUUGAGACAGGUGGUGCAUGGUUGUCGUCAGCUCGUGUCGUGAGAUGUUGGGUUAAGUCCCGCAACGAGCGCAACCCUUAUGAUUAGUUGCUACGCAAGAGCACUCUAAUCAGACUGCCGUUGACAAAACGGAGGAAGGUGGGGACGACGUCAAAUCAUCAUGCCCUUUAUGACCUGGGCUACACACGUACUACAAUGGCUGUUAACAGAGGGAAGCAAGACCGCGAGGUGGAGCAAAACCUUAAAAACAGUCUCAGUUCGGAUCGCAGGCUGCAACCCGCCUGCGUGAAGUUGGAAUUGCUAGUAAUCGCGGAUCAUCAUGCCGCGGUGAAUACGUUCCCGGGCCUUGUACACACCGCCCGUCACACCAUGGGAGCCGGUAAUACCCGAAGUCAGUAGCCCAACCGCAAGGAAGGCGCUGCCGAAGGUAGGAUUGGCGACUGGGGUG